CACCAUGAUAAUGCAUCAAAACGAAAUUUACUACUAGCAAUUUGGACCUUACGACUAUCUAGUACAUGGAAGCAUGUGAAUUGUUCAGUUAAAGCUAGCUCCCAAUCUAUAUACGUUUCAGCAUCAUUUUCCCCCUCAAAGAAAGGUACACACAAUUUAAUUGUAUUAGAAUGAUUGUUUUGUACCGUUGCCGUGGCAUUAUCAACAAGAGACGUGGAGGAUGGCUGUGGUGAAAAGCACUCAUCGCGGUCACGGGAUAGGAUCGGUCUAGUUGCCAUGCUUCGUGUAAGUCCUGUCAUGGUUAGUAGAAAACAAGAAACAAAUCACAGUAAUAUGUUCCUAUCAACUACUAGGAUGUGGCUACAAGUCGCUUAACUCUCAAGCUAAAAAUCAAGUUCUUACAAGUUCUUACCAUGCAAAACAGGCAGGUGAUGGCCAGCGGCGUGACCAAGCCCUCCGAAUAUUAAAUGUAUCGAUGCCUCGGUAACAAACCAAUCUAGGUGUAAAAUCUGUGGAGCUUGGAGGCUUUUGUGAGUAGCCAGGAAUAGCAAAUAAUCAAAUCAGCAAUGCAAAGUUAAAAAUAUGCUCAAUAAUGCUAGUCCUAGCUGCUGGAGUCGAUAAGAACGAAUUACAGAAAUAAUCUAAGCCUAGAUACUGAAAAAGGUAGGAAUAGAUAGAUCAAAAGAUGGCACAACAAGUAAAUCCCUGGGAUUUUUUUUUCUUUCUUUUUUAUUUUUGUGGCCUUCUGUUUGGUUUCUUAUUCUUUUCUUCUUCUUUUUUUUCUUUUUUUUUUAACCCCAAAAACUCACGCAAAAGAAGGACCGGAAAAAUGUACGUCGGUCUGUCGAAGAACAGCAAAGGCUGCAGUAAGAAAAUUUCAGAAAAAUAUGGAAAAAUAUGGGUUAGAAGCGUAUCGACACAAGCUUUCUAGCAAGGGCAAGAUCACUGAAAACGGAUGUCGGACGGUGGAGGAAACUGAGAAACAUCGGGCUGCAGCGACGCCGGAAAACGGAUGCAGAAACUUGGAAGCUCCGAAAGUCCACCUUACAAACCGAAUUUGAGGGUCAAAGUCUGGAUAUUUCCUGAUGCGCCUCGUCGUGAGCUUUCCAAAAAGUCCAAGAACGUCCAAAUCCGAGUCAGUACGCAAAAGAUACGCCCGUUUUACUGAACACGGGUCAAACCCACCCGAAACUAAAAUUCUACUCGGACUCGGGUCCGAAACUGACUCGAACUCUUUCUCUUUUUUUUCGUUUUUUUUUCUUUCUUUCUUUCCUUUUUUUUUUCUUUCCUUUCUUUUUUUUUCAACUUUCCCAACAACUUGAUCUCUAAACAAAAUUCGAUCUAUGAUGAAACACUUUCCAAAAGCACUCCUUAUUGGACUCGGACUCGAACUCGCGGCUGAAAACUAUUACUUGCCGACUCGAUGUAGAACUCGAAGAGGGACACAGUGUAGGACUUGACGAGGGACUCGGUGUAGGACUGGAAGAGGGACUCGGUGUAGGACUCGAUGAGGGACUCGGUGUAGGACUCGAUGAGGGACUCGGUGUAGGACUCGAAGAGGGACUCGGUGGAAGAUAUGUUGGCGGCGGGAGAUUAUGGCGGCGGUGUGGCAGGAAGUUUGGCGGCGGAAGAUUGAUGAAGGAAACCUGCGUCACACGAAGAACAAGAAAACCAAAAGCAAGUUCGAUCUAGUAGAAAAAAUCUGAAAAACGAUCCAAUCUAAUCCAGCAACUCGACACGAUUAAUGCAGCAAAGAUUCAACAAUGCAAAUACUAAUGUGAAAAUUGCAAGGCUCAGAUUGGUUCUAGGACAAGGUAACUAAUUCUAAUUUUUGUUUGGCUUUUUCUGGACGAUAGGUAAAAACAGAUCUAAACUACGGAUAAACUGGAAAAAUCUCACCGAGUAACCUUAAGCUCUGAUACCACGUGAUACGGGUGCGGGUGGCCCGAUCUUUCGAUGAGAUUGAUAACUCUCGAUUUGUGUAGGAGGUGACGUUGACGAUCCGACUACAACCUAGGAGGCAGCGCCUUAGCGAUCGAUACACCAACUCCAGAAGGUUAUUGAUCCCGCGGGGGCACGAUCAACCUGACCACGAAGGUAUUUGUUCCUGCAAGCAAUCGAAGAACAAGCAAGAACAAGAUAAAUAGCAGAUG
rnacentral:lncRNA from 1 species